rnacentral:rRNA from 1 species
UACGGAAGGGGCAAGCGUUGUUCGGAAUCAUUGGGCGUAAAGCGCGUGUAGGCGGGUCACUAAGUCCGCUCUGAAAGCCCGGGGCUCAACCCCGGGAGGCGGGUGGAUACUGGUGACCUUGAGUCCGGUAGGGGAGCGUGGAAUUCCUGGUGUAGCGGUGAAAUGCGCAGAUAUCAGGAGGAACACCGGUGGCGAAGGCGGGUCUCUGGGCCGAUACUGACGCUGAGGAGCGAAAGCGUGGGGAGCGAACAGG